rnacentral:rRNA from 1 species
AUACGGAAGGGGGCUAGCGUUGCUCGGAAUGACUGGGCGUAAAGGGCGUGUAGGCGGUUUGUACAGUCAGAUGUGAAAUCCCCGGGCUUAACCUGGGAGCUGCAUUUGAUACGUGCAGACUAGAGUGUGAGAGAGGGUUGUGGAAUUCCCAGUGUAGAGGUGAAAUUCGUAGAUAUUGGGAAGAACACCGGUGGCGAAGGCGGCAACCUGGCUCAUGACUGACGCUGAGGCGCGAAAGCGUGGGGAGC